GAUAGAGUCAGCUAACGAAGCUUUCGGGCCCAUACCCCGAACAUGACGGUUAAACCCCUUCCUCCAUCA
rnacentral:tRNA from 1 species